CUGCGUAUCAGGUAAAAGAUAAAAUUUAUAUUAGCUUAUUAUAGAAAAAAAUUUAGAUGCUCCUUGAUGAUCCGAUCUUGAAUUAAAUUUUUUCCUUCCAUUGAAACUUUAGCAACUGAGAUGGGACUAUGACAGAUUGAGGAUUAUAAAUCAGAAACAUAUCAGGAAAUGCUCUGCUUUGCAAUGUCAGGUAAUGAGACUGAGACAAGGACUCCCUCC
rnacentral:lncRNA from 1 species